GACAGAGGAUGCAAGCGUUAUCCGGAAUGAUUGGGCGUAAAGCGUCUGUAGGUGGCUUUUUAAGUCUGCCGUCAAAUCCCAGGGCUUAACCCUGGACAGGCAGUGGAAACUAGCAAGCUUGAGUACGGUAGGGGCAGAGGGAAUUCCCGGUGUAGCGGUGAAAUGCGUAGAUAUCAUUUGGAACGCCAAUGGUGAAAACAGGUAGCUGGGAGUGUGCUGACGCUGAGACACGAAAGCCAGGGGAGCAAACGGG
rnacentral:rRNA from 1 species